CCCCUUUUCAAGGGGGAUCGUGUCUCCUAUAUAGAAGCUGUCCCUUCGGGGACUAUGGACAUAAAGGCGCCCGUAAUAAGCGGAUCGGACCCGGGGGCGGUACCCGGCGGCUCCACCAAUAUCCUUCAUUAGGGGAUCAUGGGGCCGAAACAGGAUCGACGAACGUGUAAAGGGGUUAGCUUUGUCCCGGUGAGAUACCACCGUUAUCGGUUCAAACUGCAUAAUUGCUAAUGACAAUCAUGCUCCGGCUAUGGCUCUGGCUGCCUAAGCAGUCCGAGUUGCCGAAACUCAAGUCCUUAUGCCUAGCCGCGUAAGGCGGGGUUCGCAGGCACCUGGCAACAGAAGCCUGCACU
rnacentral:tmRNA from 1 species